AUUGUUUCGAACGACAGCUUUCUUGCUUGCGAGAAGGUUGACGGAUCGGUAUUGAGGGUCUUGCCAUUCACCGUGGCUCCCUCGAAAUGCAUUAGCGCAUCCAUUUGAUAGGCAAGACGGACGAAAGCUCGACUUUCGCUCCCUCUUUCACCUGCCGGGUUUUGAUAAUAUCAGGACUUCGGAGGCGAAGAGGUGGGUAAGAGCUGGACGCGACGUUUUGCUGGUUGGAGUGCUUCUCAACCCCGCCCAUGGCCUCUUCGGAGGAAAGGGAUUUUUCAAUU
rnacentral:misc_RNA from 2 species